rnacentral:lncRNA from 1 species
CGCUCUCGGCGUCCACCGACACGGCGGGCCGCUCCUCGCCCUCCUCCCGCACCAGCGCGUACCUCACGCGCCCGUUCGCGCCCGCGUCCGCGUCCGUCGCCUUCACGCUGCCGAUCCGCACCGCGCCCGCCUCGUUCUCGCUCACCCACAUGCUGUACGCCGCCUGCGUGAAGCGCGGCGCGUUGUCGUUCACGUCGCCGAUCCGCACCCGCACGCUUUCGCGAGCGCUCAGCCGCGCCCGGCCCCGGUCCGCCGCCACGAUGCUCACGUUGUACUCGGCCGUCGUCUCCCUGUCCAGGGCCGCGCUGGUGCGCAGCUCGUAGUGGUCGGCGAACGCGGCCGUCAGGCUGAACGGCACGUCGCCCUCGAUGGCGCACUCCGUCCGCCCGUUGUCGCCGGAGUCGCGGUCCCGCACGCUCAGCAGGGCCACCACGGUGCGCGGCGGGGCGUCCUCGGGGAUGGACGCGCUCACGGAGCUCAGCUCGAUCUCCGGCGCGUUGUCGUUCACGUCCAGUACCUCCACGUGCACUUUGCAGUGCGUAGACAGACCGCCGCCGUCCGUGGCUCUCACUACCAUCUUAUGCGCUUCUGCUUCCUCAAAGUCCAGAUGGCCCGAGAUGCGAAUCUCUCCGGUCUCAGCGUCCAGAUCAAAGAGCUGACGGGACCCCGGCGAUGUCUGUGUGAAUUCGUACCGCACUUUGCCGUAGGAGCCUUCGUCGGGAUCCGCGGCCGACACCCGCACCACCAGCUGCCCCGGGGGGCUGUUCUCGGCCACGCGCACCUCGUACACCUCCCGCGAGAACACCGGCACGUUGUCGUUGGCAUCCAGCACCACCACCCGGACCUCAGCCGUGCCCGACCUGGGCGGCGAGCCCCCGUCCGUGGCCGUGAGCACCAAAUGCAGCUCCCGCUGCUCCUCGCGGUCCAAAGCCCUCUCAAGGACGAGUUCCACGUAUCUGCCUCCACUUUUCCCACUUCUCAAAGCUAGGGAGAAAUGCGAGUUUGGAGAGAGACUGUAAUUCUGCAAACCGUUGAUCCCCGCGUCUUCAUCUUGUGCUUUUUCUAGGGGAAACCUUGACCCAGGAGCUGUCGUUUCGAGUAUCUCCAAAACCAUCUCCUUCUGCGGGAACACGGGGGAGUUGUCGUUCACGUCCCGAACCUCCACCUCCCCGCGGAUCAGCUGCACCGGGUUCUCAAAGAACAGCUUAAAGAAGAGCGCGCAGCUCUCGCUGUGCGGACAGAUCCGCUCCCGGUCCAGCGUCUCCGUGACCGUCAGGACGCCGCUGUGCGGAUCGAGGCGGAAAUGCUGCUCGCUCCCCUCGGACACCACGCGCGCCUUGCGAGCCGCCAGCUGGCUCGGAGAAAGCCCCAGGUCCCGGGCGACGUUGCCCACCGACGAGUCCCUCGCCAUUUCCUCCGCCACGGAAUAGCGCAGCGUUUCGGCCCCGCUCUCCCACACGCAAACGCACACGAGCCACAACACCACUCGCCUCUCGCCGCCGCCGCUCCGUCUUC